rnacentral:rRNA from 1 species
AUUGAACGCUGGCGGCAGGCCUAACACAUGCAAGUCGAGCGGCAGCGGGAAAGUAGCUUGCUACUUUUGCCGGCGAGCGGCGGACGGGUGAGUAAUGCCUGGGAAAUUGCCCAGUCGAGGGGGAUAACAGUUGGAAACGACUGCUAAUACCGCAUACGCCCUAAGGGAAAGCAGGGGACCUUCGGGCCUUGCGCGAUUGGAUAUGCCCAGGUGGGAUUAGCUAGUUGGUGAGGUAAUGGCUCACCAAGGCGACGAUCCCUAGCUGGUCUGAGAGGAUGAUCAGCCACACUGGAACUGAGACACGGUCCAGACUCCUACGGGAGGCAGCAGUGGGGAAUAUUGCACAGUGGGGGAAACCCUGAUGCAGCCAUGCCGCGUGUGUGAAGAAGGCCUUCGGGUUGUAAAGCACUUUCAGCGAGGAGGAAAGGUUGAUGCCUAAUACGUAUCAACUGUGACGUUACUCGCAGAAGAAGCACCGGCUAACUCCGUGCCAGCAGCCGCCGUAACAC